AAUACUAAAAAGAGCUUAAAUGCUUAAAAUUUUCAAAAAUUUGUUAGAAGCCAUGAAAAUAAGUGUUGAAUUAUUUCUUUGUCGAUAAAAUUAGAAUAAAAGCAUCUUCAAUGAAACACAUACAGCCCUAUAAAGGCUGGGAUUCUUGCCGAUUAAAUACUACUUUUACAAAGAAUCUGUGUGACAAUAUAAAAAAGCUUAUAUGAUGAGCAUGCAUACCUGCAGGACGGUUGAUGCUCUAGUUAGAUUCUUGUUUGGGGGAAGGGUUUCUACAAAAUGGAGCAUGACAAAUACCUUAUUAGUUAACAAUGAUUAGGAAUUUUGUAGAGGAUUAACAUCCUCUCAUGGUUUGAACUCUCUUGAACUCCCUCGUAGGACCAUAAUGGAUCAUAAUAGGUGGAUAUUAAGAUAACUAUUAGCUGUCAACUAAGGAUGAUUUAAGUUAAUGUGGUCAGAUAAUAUCCUUAUCGAAUUGUGUAUUUGAUUCUUCUCUUUUCAGUUGAAAUUUAAAAAAAAAAAAGAACUUGAAUUUUAGAAUUGUAUCAAAUAAAAAUGCUAAAAUAAUUAACUUUUAACCAUUCACCACAAUAAAUUUGCAACUCACAAAAUAAAUUUUAUUUAUUUAUUAAUAAUAUGCUUAUCCAAAUAUACAUUCCAUUACAUUCUUUUAUCAAUUAAUACUUGACGCAUAAAGUACCAAAUGAAUUUAAAUUUUAUUGUAGGACCCAUUUGGAAUUAUUUUUA
rnacentral:lncRNA from 1 species